UACCUGCAGCUCGAGUGGUAACCGCUAUUAUUGGGCCUAAAGCGUCCGUAGCCGGUUUGGUAAAUAUCUGGGUAAAUCGUGAGGCUUAACUUCACGAAUUUCGGAUAGACUGCCAGACUUGGGAUCGGGGGAGGUCAGAGGUACUCCAGGGGUAGCGGUGAAAUGUUGUAAUCCUUGGAGGACCACCGGUAGCGAAGGCGUCUGACUAGAACGAGUCCGACGGUGAGGGACGAAGCCCUGGGGCGCAAACCGGAUUAGAUACCCGGGUAGUCCAGGGUGUAAACGAUGUGGGCUUUGUAUUGGAGGUCCCACGUGGGCGUCCAGUGCAGAAGAGAAGUUGUUAAGCCCACCGCCUGGGAAGUACGGUUGCAAGGCUGAAACUUAAAGGAAUUGGCGGGGGAGCACAGCAACGGGAGGAGCGUGCGGUUU
rnacentral:rRNA from 1 species